ensembl:lncRNA
AUGACCAGGUGUCACCGUUCCUCCUGCACCUCACUUUUUCUCUUAGCCCUCCUCGCCGUCGCCCCCCAGCUGGCCAGCGCUGUCUCUCUGCCCGCCAACGACAGCCCCUCCAGCAGCAGCAGCACCAGCAGCAGCAGCAGCAGCAGCAGCAGCAGCAGCAGCAGCAGCAGCAGCAGCCGUGGCCAUCAUGACAUCCAGGUCCAGCAACUGGCGCAGGCAACAGUGUCCAAGGUCGGGCACGGCGCUACCAGGACGCACCGCAGAGACGACGCCCGUGUGCCGGCCGCGUUCCAGCAAAGUUCGCCGUCUUCAGACGUAAGCGCAGCCUGGGCGCUCGCUUCUAUUCUGAUGAACUCGAUUGACCAUCCGAGGAAAGAGGUGGAGGAGAGAGGCGCAGGGGGGCACGUGACAGACGCGGACGGUGAUGAUGAGGGGGUGAGUCGGGAAGGAGCUGGCGGGGAGCUGGGAUAUACGGAAGACCAGAUGGAAGAGGAGGAGAGCGUGGAGUCACUGAGGGAGGAGGUCAACAUUGCAGCUCGCCAACUGGCAGAUUAUAGUGAGCCGUGGGACGCGGACGAACAGCAGGAGAAGGAAGAGAGAGAUCAAAGGUCACCCCUGACCCAAGAGGGGAGCGAGCUGGAGGAGAAGGAGGAGGAGGAGGAGAGGGUUUUUGAGAAGCAGGUAGAUGAUGUGGUUGAGGCCCUGUCCAAAACCAGCACCAACAGGAACGCUGGCAAGCUGCAGCGCGAGACCAGAGGCUACUUCCAGAACAUUGACCUUGGUCUCCAGGACAACGAGAUUCUUCCACCACUGAAGGGCUACAAGGCGUACAACCAGCAGCUGGCACAGGCCACCAAGAAGCUGAAGUGGCAAGAGGACAAGACAAAAGAGCCGGCCCCCACUUACGAAAGAAACUUUAUGGACGACUUUGACAACCCUGAGCAGGACGAGGACGAAGAGUCGCUGGCACGGGAAGAUGAGGAGGCCAGGGCGCGGGCCGAGCAGGAGGAGGUGCGGAGGCAGCAGGCUGAGGCGGAGGCGGCUCGAGAGGAGGAGCAGCGCCUGGCCGACAUCGCCUCAGACAUGCUCCUGGAGUACAUGGGCCGCAAGCAGCAGACAUCCUUCAUGAAGCAGCGUCAGAAGGCCAGCAUCCUGGGUAACGGGGCCGAGGACAAGCGCUCCAAUGAGGUGGAGAGCGACGAUGACGACGACGGUGACCUCGACCUCCAGACCAUCGACCGGCUGAUUGAGAUCUCCAGCAAGCUGCACCUACCUGCCGACGACGUGGUAGAGAUCAUCAGUGACGUUGAGGAGAAAAAGAGGAGGAAGGACUCCCCAGCGGCCAUCGUCCCACGCUUCCGGCCCCUAGUGGGCCCCUCCAGACCCCAGAGUCCUGUUUACAAAUACCCUCCCACCCCCAAAAUCUCCAAACCCUCCAAGAGUGUCAAGCCAUACAAAAAAUGGUACAAGGAGAAGGGCAAAUCCAAGGGGUUCAAACAGGAUUACUGGUUUAAGCCAGCCAAACAAUUUAUGGCCUAUCCAUCUUAUCCAUACUACCAGAAGCCAUACCGGGCCUAUUACCCUGUGUACUUCCCCCCUCCUAAGCCUCGCCUCUAUUCAAAGCCAGCAUUUGCAUACGAUUACAACUUUGAGGACUCACUGGACUAUGGCCUCAAGCCGCCCAAGCGCAGGAACAUGAACAAGCUGAAGGGCAAAGGCCAGAGCUGGAAGGUCAUGUCUCUGGGCCCCCCCACCCCUUACCUUUCCAAUUACAUUCUGCCCCAUCCCCGGACAUACUACCCUCUCCCCAUGCCAAAACCACAGCCCCCGUACUACCCUCUCCCCAUGCCAAAGCCACAGCCCUCGGCAAACAGGAGACCUUCGGCUUCCUUCCCUUCCCUCUACUACCCCCCAGAUUAUGACAACGGUGAUCUGGGAGAGAAGCAGGAGAGCGAUGAAGAGCUGGAGAACUUUAUGGAGAAAAUCUACUUUCACCGUCGAAUCUUUUAG